AGUGAACGCUGGCGGUAGGCCUAACACAUGCAAGUCGAACGGCAGCACAGGAGAGCUUGCUCUCUGGGUGGCGAGUGGCGGACGGGUGAGGAAUACAUCGGAAUCUACUCUGUCGUGGAGGAUAACGUAGGGAAACUUACGCUAAUACCGCAUACGACCUACGGGUGAAAGCAGGGGACCUUCGGGCCUUGCGCGAUUGAAUGAGCCGAUGUCGGAUUAGCUAGUUGGCGGGGUAAAGGCCCACCGAGGCGACGAUCCGUAGCUGGUCUGAGAGGAUGAUCAGCCACACUGGAACUGAGACACGGUCCAGACUCCUACGGGAGGCAGCAGUGGGGAAUAUUGGACAAUGGGCGCAAGCCUGAUCCAGCCAUACCGCGUGGGUGAAGAAGGCCUUCGGGUUGUAAAGCCCUUUUGUUGGGAAAGAAAUCCAGCUGGCUAAUACCCGGUUGGGAUGACGGUACCCAAAGAAUAAGCACCGGCUAACUUCGUGCCAGCCGCCGCGGUAA
rnacentral:rRNA from 1 species